rnacentral:rRNA from 1 species
UACAGAGGCCUCGAGCGUUAGGCGGAAUCACUGGGCUUAAAGCGUGUGUAGGCGGGUCGUUAAGUGCCUUGUGAAAUCCCAUGGCUCAACCAUGGAACUGCUCGGCAUACUGGCGAUCUUGAGCCACUUAGGGGCAACUGGAACAGACGGUGGAGCGGUGAAAUGCGUAGAUAUCGUCUGGAACGCCAAUGGUGAAGACAGGUUGCUGGGAGUGCGCUGACGCUGAGACACGAAAGCCAGGGGAGCAAACGGG